GAUGAAGAACGCAGCGAAAUGCGAUAAGUAAUGCGAAUUGCAGAAUUUCCGUGAGUCAUCGAAUCUUUGAACGCACAUUGCGCCCACUGGUAUUCCGGUGGGCAUGCCUGUUCGAGCGUCAUUAUCCUCCCUCAAACCCCGGGUUUGGUGUUGGACCCAAGUUGUGUGCACAACUGGUCUCAAAGACAAUGACGGCGUCCGUGGGACCCUCGGUGCAACGAGCUUUUAGGAGCACGCAUCGAGUUGCAAGGACCUUCCGGGCCGGUCUCCUUUACCAAUUUACAAGGUUGACCUCGGAUCAGGUAGGAAUACCCGCUGAACUUAAGCAUAUCAAUAAGCGGAGGA
rnacentral:misc_RNA from 1 species